rnacentral:rRNA from 1 species
UGAAUACGAGACGCUAAGGCGUUGAAGUAGUGUAUGUCAUACUUCCAAGAAAAGCUUGCACUGUCAUAGAUAAAAAACGCCUGUACCAUAACCGACACAGGUGGGUAGGUAGAGUAUACUAAGGGGCGCGAGAUAACUCUCUCUAAGGAACUCGGCAAAAUAACUCCGUAACUUCGGGAGAAGGAGUGCCUUAUUUAUAAGGCUGCAAUAACAAGAUCCAAGCAACUGUUUAUCAAAAACACAGGUCUCCGCUAAGUCGUAAGACGAUGUAUGGGGGCUGACGCCUGCCCAGUGCCAGAAGGUUAAAGAAGUUGGUUAGCAAUAGCGAAGCUGAUAACUGAAGCCCUGGUGAACGGCGGCCGUAACAAUAACGGCCCUAAGGUAGCGAAAUUCCUUGUCGGGUAAGUUCCGACCCGCACGAAAGGCGUAAUGAUUUGGAUACUGUCUCGGAGAGGGGCUCGGUGAAAUAGACUUGUCUGUGAAGAUGCGGACUACCUGCACCAGGACAGAAAGACCCUAUGAAGCUUUACUGUAACUUGAAAUUGAAAUUGGACUUUAUUCGCGCAGUAUAGGUGGGAGGCGUUGAUUGUAUCUUGCGGGAUUAUUGGAGCCAUCAGUGAGAUACCACCCUUGUAAUGUUAGAUUUCUAACUUUGAAUCAUUAUCUGGUCAAAGAACAGUUUCAGGCGGGCAGUUUGACUGGGGCGGUCGCCUCCUAAACGGUAACGGAGGCGUACAAAGGUUUCCUCUGAACGGUUAGAAAUCGUAUCUAGAGUGUAAAGGCAUAAGGAAGCUUGACUGUGAGACCUACAAGUCGAGCAGGGACGAAAGUCGGUCUUAGUGAUCUGACGGUACUGAGUGGAAAGGCCGUCACUCAACGGAUAAAAGUUACUCUAAGGAUAACAGGCUGAUCUCCCCCAAGAGUUCACAUCGACGGGGAGGUUUGGCACCUCGAUGUCGGCUCAUCGCAUCCUGGGGCGGUAGUACGUCCCAAGGGUUGGGCUGUUCGCCCAUGAAAGCGGUACGCGAGCUGGGUUCAGAACGUCGUGAGACAGUUCGGUCCAUAUCCGGUGUAGGCGUUAGAAUAUUGAGAGGAGCCUUCUUUAGUACGAGAGGACCGAGAAGGACAUACCUCUGGUGUACCAGUUAUCGUGCCAACGGUAAACGCUGGGUAGCUAUGUAUGGAGUGGAUAACCGCUGAAAGCAUCUAAGUGGGAAGCCCACCUCAAGAUAAGUAUUCUCA